GAAAAUCAUUGUAUUUUGUUUUUAUUUACGAAUUACACAUCGUGCCAACUUCACUGGUUUUGUAUAUGUGUGUGUGUGUGUGUGUGUGUGUGUGUGUGUGUGUGUGUGUGUGUGUGUGUGUGUGUGUGUGUGUGUGUGUUUGCUCACUAUACUCCCAGUGCCACCCACACUUGUUUAAAACAUGUAGAUAGUGGAUUUCUCAAUGUAAAGUAGUUAGUUUCUUUAGAGAAAAAGUGCUAUAUCAAUGUUAUUCACUUCACUUUAAACUGAACUCGGGGGCGGGUAUGCACCGCAUUUUAUCAAAAUAAAAUAAAAAUUGUAGCGUUCCACCAAAAUGUAUUGACUUGAUUAGGAAAAAGGUUCAUCAGUUUUUGCAUAAUCCUGCUCAAUAACUGUGAUUUUUGAAAACAAACAAACAUCUCCUUGGUGGAGGUAAUGCUCAUAUAUGUGGACUGACCUGAGCCUUCAUGGCAGCCAUUGGUAUGGUCUCGUAGUAGUGGAGCGGAGCGUGAGGAUGCUGCAUGUCGUAGCCAAAGCCUGCCAGGCUGACGUGGUCACACAGCUGCAGAGCCAUCACCACAGCACCAGCACCCAGUGUGGGCACCAUCUAGUCAACACAACACAACCACCUACACUUUCUUGGACAAUGAGUAUCUCUGCAGGACUUCCGCAGUCUUGCGAAUGAUCUCUGGGUGGAGGAUCCGGAAGUUCUCUGGUCUCAAGGGAAUGUGGUCCACCACCUCCUUCCAGAACCACAGCUUGGACCACAAGCUCUGUGAGACCCGGGAGCAGCUUCUGCAGCCUCCGGCAGCAACGGAGAGCGGCCGCGUGUCUCUUCUUCUACGCUCAAGAGAUUCAGGAUCACCAUGGUAACCUCACCUCAAACACACGCUGAUUUAGAAGUGGUCGUCAUCUUUUAAUUCCUUGACUGCCAAGUUUAAAUAUAGAGUGAAAUACCUGCUACAGUCCGUCACGUAACGUUGCAUGAUGGUAAAAGAACGGCAGCGAUGUCCAGUGUGGCUAAAAUGGCUGCUGCUGUUAGAUUACCUCACCCGACUCUUCCUUACACGGCUUACACAUUAACUAGUCCAGGCCUGGACGUUGUCAGUGAGCACAGCAAUGGACAAAAGACUAUUAAGCUUAUUGUAUGUCAUGUAAAAUGAUACCUGCAUGCUUUUGAAUGGAACACUCCCUCAUGACGAGCCCGUCUGAAGGUUAGGUUUGUUUAGCACUUUGCAAAUGUAGCCUUCCCUUGGGCACACCUGCACUAUUUAUAAUACACUCCCUUCCUCGCGUGGUGCCUAUCAGCCAUAGAAACACUGACCUUGGCGUACACUGUAAGUUCAAGUACCGAUGAUUGUCACACACACACUAGGUGUGGCGAAAUUAUUCCCUGCAUUUGACCCAUC